rnacentral:rRNA from 1 species
AACGAACGCUGGCGGCAUGCCUAACACAUGCAAGUCGAACGAGACCUUCGGGUCUAGUGGCGCACGGGUGCGUAACGCGUGGGAACCUGCCCUUAGGUUCGGAAUAACUCCCCGAAAGGGGUGCUAAUACCGGAUAAUGUCUUCGGACCAAAGAUUUAUCGACUUUGGAUGGGCCGGCGUUGGAUUAGCUGGUUGGUAGGGUAAAAGCCUACCACGGCGACGAUCCAUAGCUGGUCUGAGAGGCUGAUCAGCCACACUGGGACUGAGACACGGCGCAGAAUACUACGGGAGGGAGGAGAGGGGAAUACUGGAAUACGGGGGAAGGGAUGAUCGAGCUAGGGUGGGUGAGUGCUGAAGGCGUGAGAGAAGUAAAGCUCUUUUACACGCGAUGAUAAUGACGGUACCGGGAGAAUAAGCACCGGCUAACUUCGUG